ensembl:lncRNA
CGGUUUUAUUUUUUAAGCUGUUCCAACUUUAACUUUUUCUUAAUUUCUAGAAGUUCACCUGCUGACCUUCAUCUCCUUCACUCUUACAUAUGAAAGUAGUGAUAACCCUGUAAGUACAGUUCCUGUUUGCUUGCAGAAAUGGGGCAUAAUUUAUGGGUCGACAAGACCUCAAAGCAUAUUGAAUAUGUUUUAUUGACAAAUAACAUUAUGAAAAUAUGAACAGACUGCGCAGCUGCUAAAAUCUACUGUAUGUUUUGCAGCAUAACAAAGCACAGAGCAUACUGUAUAUUACACAGCUGCAAAUGUAACUAAAACACUCAGUACUGAUGCACUGUAAUGUGCGUAUCAUCGGACAGCACAGACGUACAAACCCAGCGGACAAAAGGUCUGAUUUUUGUGGGCUGGGCCUCACAGUCGACAGAUUCCUUCAUCUGCAUCUCUGCUGGGGUUCAACAUCUGGCAGGAGUCCAGAGUCCAAACACAGAGCGUGAUGGAAACCAACCUGUCUGCUGGAACAGGCAACUCACACAAGAGAGCUGGACCCUGCAGCAAGCCAGAGAGGAGAGGUCAAAGGUCAAAAUCAAGAUGUGUGUGCUGGAGUGUGUGUGUGAGGGUUUGAAGAGGGUCAAACGUUUGGUUUCUCGCUCUUCUUCAUCUGCUCCCAUGAUGAUUUUCCUCCAUAUUCCUCUUCCUUUCUCCUUGUUCUGCCCAUCUCUUGCGGUUUUCUUACUUUUUUUUUUUAUUUAAGCUUUGACACAUUUUUUCUGUGUUUUUCUGUAUUUGUUUUGUUUUUUCAGAGUGACGACAAAGAACAUCAGACCGUGUCAGUGCUGAAUAUUUCCGCCUGGUUCCUUUUCUCCUUGAAGAUGUUCCUGUUGAGAUAGUUCUCUGUAACAGGGCAGCCCUUAGCGGCUGGAAACACAGUGAGACAGACCAAGGCAAGUGUAGUGGAACAAAGUAUUUAUUUGCUAUAUGGCUCUCCUUAAAACAAUUAACUUGUCAAGCUUCUUCACAGCACAAAAAUCCAUCCUCUAAUGACAACUGGCAGCCUUAAAUAUGUUCAGCUGUCACAGACUAAACCAUUAUUCCACUCUCAGGUAAAUUCUUAAAUCCCAACCUUCCACCACAGUAUACAAUAUAUCAAUAAGAAUAAAUAAAUACAUAUAUACAUUUUCACAUUUACAUAUUAAUAAAUACUUCACACUUUAAUGUUACACCAAACCCAAUAUUAUAAAAACCCAGAAACCCGAGCACAAAAAGAUUCACCACACUCUCUUUACCAAUGGACUCUCCCGGAACCUUUAAAUGG